CAUCUAUGUGUUGACGACAUUGGUGGCUCCGGUGUUUGCAACAUCUGUAGUAGAAGAAAGAAUACAACAUUAGAAGAGUCGCCGCCCUCUGACUCUAGAUCAUCAAGAGAAAAGAACGGAGGUGCAGGACGCUGCGAGAAACAGGCAACUAAAACGUCGGUGGAAAAAGCACAGCAGCAAAAAGAGGACUCUGACAAGAACAAGCGUGAAUACUUGAUGCUGCUAGGUGUCCUUGCAGCGAGCGUCACCUACCAGACUGGCCUCAAGCCACCAGGUGGCCUGUGGCAGGACAACAGCGGUGGUCACUCAGCUGGCAGCUCCAUCCUCCACCACAUCGACAAACGCCGGUACCAUGCUUUCUUCUACUGCAACUCCACUUCCUUCAUGGCCUCCGUCGUCGUCGUCAUCUUGCUCCUGCCAUGGACUCUCCACGGAUACCCAUUGCCACUAUGGACAAUGCAGACGGCUAUUUGGUUUGACAUGCUCGGCCUCCUGGGGGCCUAUGCAGCCGGCAGUACCAGGGACUGGGAGACAUCUAGGAAUGUCAUCUACUUGGUCAUCCCUGUCCUGGCCUAUAUUGCAGUCUAUGCAGGAGUGUCAAUCUUCCGCAAGGUAAGAUGCGGCCACCGGCCCACAGCCCACAACAGCAAGUCUCAAGGGCAUAAAUCAUCUGGCAAUGACGAAGAUCAGCCGUGAGAGAAUGCUUUUUUUUUCUUCUAAUUUCGUCCAAUUGUGAUACCAUGUUUGUGUUAUAUAUAAAUAUAUAUCUAUAUAUACUUGUUUGAAUUUCCCCAUUGUAUAAGGCAUUUUAUGCAUAAUUAUAAUAUCACGUACUUCUAUAUAUUUAGGCCUAGCAUUUUCAAAAGACU
rnacentral:lncRNA from 1 species